rnacentral:tRNA from 1 species
GGUGUCGUAGCCAAGUGGUCUAAGGCGUCGGUCUGCAAAACCGAUACUCACGGGUUCGAAUCCCGUCGACACCUCCA